rnacentral:tRNA from 1 species
GUCCAAGUAAUUUAACCAAAAUACUGGCCUUGUAAGCCAGCAACGAAGGAAAACUCCUUCCUAGGACA